rnacentral:rRNA from 1 species
GGGUUAAGUCCCGCAACGAGCGCAACCCUUAUCCUUUGUUGCCAGCGGUCCGGCCGGGAACUCAAAGGAGACUGCCAGUGAUAAACUGGAGGAAGGUGGGGAUGACGUCAAGUCAUCAUGGCCCUUACGACCAGGGCUACACACGUGCUACAAUGGCGCAUACAAAGAGAAGCGACCUCGCGAGAGCAAGCGGACCUCAUAAAGUGCGUCGUAGUCCGGAUUGGAGUCUGCAACUCGACUCCAUGAAGUCGGAAUCGCUAGUAAUCGUGGAUCAGAAUGCCACGGUGAAUACGUUCCCGGGCCUUGUACACACCGCCCGUCACACCAUGGGAGUGGGUUGCAAAAGAAGUAGGUAGCUUAACCUUCGGGAGGGCGCUUACCACUUUGUGAUUCAUGACUGGGGUGAAGUCGUAACAAGGUAGCCGA